rnacentral:rRNA from 3 species
GUUAUAGGGUCAAGCGAACAAGUGCAUGUGGUGGAUGCCUUGGCGAUCACAGGCGAUGAAGGA